AUUGAACGCUGGCGGCAUGCCUUACACAUGCAAGUCGAACGCGAAAGGGGGCAACCCUGAGUAGAGUGGCGAACGGGUGAGUAAUGCAUCGGAACAUUUCCUGUAGUGGGGGAUAACCUCGAGAAAUCGAGGCUAAUACCGCGUACGUCCUACGGGAGAAAGCGGGGGAUCGCAAGACCUCGCGCUAUAGGAGUGGCCGAUGCCGGAUUAGCUAGUUGGCGGGGUAAAAGCCCACCAAGGCGACGAUCCGUAGCUGGUCUGAGAGGAUGAUCAGCCACACUGGGACUGAGACACGGCCCAGACUCCUACGGGAGGCAGCAGUGGGGAAUUUUGGACAAUGGGCGCAAGCCUGAUCCAGCCAUGCCGCGUGAGUGAAGAA
rnacentral:rRNA from 1 species